rnacentral:lncRNA from 10 species
AUCCACCACUAUAGUAUUACAUAGAUUCAUUUCACUGCACUAAAAAUUUGCCUAUACAUUCCUCCCUCUGGAAAACACUGCUCUUUUUACUGUCUCCAUAAUUUUGGCUUUUCCGGAAUGUCAUAUAGUUGGAAUCAUACAGUAUUUAGCCUUUUCGGAUUAGCUUCUUUCACUUUAUAAUAUGCAUUUAAGUUUCAUCCAUGUCGUUUUAUGAUGUGAUAGCUCAUUUCUUAGUGCUGAAUAAUAUUCUUACAUCUGGAUGUACCACAGUUUAUCCACUCAAAUAUUAAAGGAUAUCUUGAUUGCACCCAAGUUUUGGCAAUUAUGUAAAGCUGUUAAACAAUGUGUGCAGGUUUUUAUGUGGAGAUAAGUUUUGUUUGUUUGUUUUUGUUUUUGCUUUUUUUUUUGAGAUGGAGUUUUGCUCUGUCACUCAGGCUGGAGUGCAAUGGCAUGAUCUCAGCUCACUGCAACCUCCGCCUCCUGGGCUCAAGUGAUUCUCCUGCCUCAGCCUCCCUAGUAGCUGAGAUUACAGCAAUGAAUGAAGGUUCCUGUUGCUCCACAUUCUCACCAGCACUUGGUUUCAUCAGUGUUCUGACUUCAGCCAUUCUAACAGGUAUGUAGCGGUAUCUCAUUGUUGUUUUAAUUUUCAAUACCCUAAUGACUAUGAUGUUUAACAUCUUUUCCUAUGCUUUCUUGACACUUGUGUAUCUUCUUUGGUGAGUUGUCUGUUCAGGUUUUUUGCUCAUUUUUUAAGUUGAGUUGUUCAUUUUCAAACUGUUGAGUUGUAAGAGUUGUUUGCACAUUGUGAACAAUAGUCCUUUAUGAGAAGUAUCUUUUGCAAAUAAUUUUUCCAUCUGUGGCUUGUCUUCUCAUUCUCUUAAUAUUGUCUUUCACAGAGCAGAAGUUUUAAAUUUUAGUUAAGUCCAGCUUGUCAAUCAUUUCCUUCAUGUAUCGUGCCUUUGGAGCUGUAUCUAAAAAAUGCCACUGCCAUACCAAAGUCAUCUAGGAUUUUUCCUGUGUUAUCUUCUGGGAGUUUUAUAGUUCUGCAUUUUACAUUUAGGUCUAUGAUUCAAGUUAAUUUUUGCAAAGGGUAUAAGAUCUGUGUUUACACUCAAUUUGGAUUUAAAAAAUUUUUGUUGUUGUAUGUUAAUGUGUAGUUUUUCCAGCAUUAUUUGUUGAAAAGACCAUCUUUGCUCCAUUGUAUUGCCUUUGCUCCCUUGUCAAAGAUCAUUUGAUUAUAUUUACAUGGGUUUGUUUGGGCUCUUUAUUCUAUUCCAUUGGUCUAUUUGAAUAUUCUUUCACCAGUACCCACUACAUUGAUUAUCUGAGCUUUAUAGUAAGCUUUAAAGCCAGGUAGUGUCAGUCCUCUGACUUUGUUGUUCUCCUCAAAUACUGAGUUGGCUAUUCUGCUCUUUUGCCUCUCCAUAUAAACUUUAGAAUCCUUUUGUUGAUAUCCAUAAAAUAUCGUGCUGUGUUUUUUAAUGGCAUUGCACUGAAUCUAUAGAUCAAGUUGGGAAGAACUGACAUCUUGACAAUGAACAUGUAACAUCUCUUCAUUAUUUAGUUCACUGGUAUUUUUCAUUACACUUUUGUAGUUUUCUUCAUAUAGAUCAUGUACAUAUUCUGUUAGAUUUAUACAAAAGUAUUUCAUUUCUUGGGGUGCUAAUGUAAAUGGUAAUGUGUUUUUAAUUCAAAUUACACUUGUUUAUUGCUGGUAUACAGGAAAGUGAUUGGCUUUCUUUAUAUUAAGUUUGUAUUCUGUAACCUUACAAUAAUCAUUUAUUAGUUCCAGUUUUCUUUUUUCUGAUCCUUUGGAUAUUCCAUAUAAACAACUGUCAUCCGUGAACAAAGACAGUUUGAUUUCUUCCUCCGGAAUCUGUAUGCUUUUCAUUUUCUUUCCUUUGUCUUAUUGCAUUAGGUAGCACUUCCAGUAGGAAACAAAGUGGUAAGAGGAGACACCUUUGUCUUGUUCUUGAUCUUAGCAGGAAAGCUUUGAGUUUCUAAAAAUUAAGUAUGAUGUAAACUGUAGGUUUUUUGUGUAUUUUCUUUAUCAAGUUGGGGAAUACUACUAUAUCCCUAAUUUUAUUUUCCUUAUGUGGAUCUGAGUUUCUAACCUGUAUCAUUUUACCUCUCUCUAAAGAACUUUAAACAUUUUUUGCAAGGGUGGUCCACUGGCAACAAAUUCCUGAAAUUUUUGUUUCUUUAAGACAGACUUUAUUUCUUAACUUCUGAAGGACAAUUUUGCAAGGUCCAGAAUCGUACACUGCCGGAUUUUUCUUUCAACAUCUUAAAUGUCUCACUCUACUCUCUUAUUUGUAUGGUUUAUGAGGAUAUGUCAGAUAAAAUUUAUUAUUUUUGCUCCUCUAUAGGUGUUUUUUCCUUCUGGAUUCUUUCGAUAUUUUUUUAAUCUUUGAUUUUCUGAAGUUUGAAUAUAAUAUGCCCAUGAGUAGUUUUGGGACAUUUAUCCUGCUUGGUGUUCUUUGAGCUCUCUGGAGAAGUAGUUUGGUGUCUGACAUUAAUUGGGGGAGAUUUUCACACACUAUUUCUUCAAAUAUUGCAUCUAAUCCUUUCUUUCUUUUUCUAGUAUGCCCAUUGCACGUACAUUAUACCUUUUGUAGUUCUCCUGCAGUUCUUGAAUAAUCUCUUCUGUUUUUUUCACAGUCUUUUUUCUCUUUGCAUUUUAGUUUUGAAGUUCCUAUUAUCAUAUCCUUAACUUCAAAGAUUUUUUCCUCGGCUAUGUUCAAUCUACUUAUGAGCCUAUCAAAGACAUUUUAAUCAUUUCUGUACACUAUGCUUGAUACUUGGCAUUUCUCUUUGGUUCUUUCCUAAAAUUUCCGUCUCUAUAUUUACAUUAUCCAUCUGUUCUUGUAUGUCAUUUUUUUAAUCCCUCACCAUAUUAACCAUAGUUUUUUAUAAAGUUUCUGGUCUGAUAAUUCCAAUGUCACUGCCAUAUUUGACUCUGCUUCUGAUGCUUAUUCAGUGUCUUCAAACUGCAUUUCCUGCCUUUUAGCAUGCCUUAUAAUUUUUUGGUUGAAUGACAGACAUGAUAUACUCAGUAAAAGAAACUGCUGCAAAUAGGCUUUUAGUAAUAUGAUAGUAAAAGGUGUGGGAAAGGGAAGCAUUCUGUAGCCUUAUAAUUUGGUCUCCCUCUUUGGUGAAACUGUACCCAUGGACUAUGAACUUCACCAGUUUUCUCAGUUCCCCUAGGCCCCCUAACGUGGACAGGAUGGUUUGAGUUGUCCAGAGUUAUAUAUUUUCCUUUCCCUAUGUGGAAAGCUAAAAGGGGGCUGAACUUAGGUAUUUCCCUUCCCUUUGGGAGGUUACACUCUUAUAAAAUCCCAAAAGUUUAGGCUCUGGUAAAAUAGUUUCACUUGAGAGCAGGCUUGAGUCCAACAAAAUGCUCUGACAUAUUUCAAGAUGGUUCCUUUUCUUCUCCCCUUAGGGAAUUUUCUCCAGUAGUCACUGUGAAC